UACGGAGGGUGCAAGCGUUAUCCGGAUUCACUGGGCUUAAAGGGCGCGUAGGCGGGCAGGUAAGUCAGUGGUGAAAUCUCCGGGCUUAACUCGGAAACUGCCAUUGAUACUAUCUGUCUUGAAUACCGUGGAGGUCAGCGGAAUAUGUCAUGUAGCGGUGAAAUGCUUAGAUAUGACAUAGAACACCAAUUGCGAAGGCAGCUGGCUACACGAAUAUUGACACUGAUGCACGAAAGCGUGGGGAGCAAACAGG
rnacentral:rRNA from 1 species